UACGGAGGGAGCUAGCGUUGUUCGGAAUUACUGGGCGUAAAGCGUACGUAGGCGGUUUUGUAAGUUAGGAGUGAAAUCCCCGGGCUCAACCUGGGAACUGCUCUUAAGACUGCAGAACUUGAGGACGAGAGAGGAAAGUGGAAUUCCAAGUGUAGAGGUGAAAUUCGUAGAUAUUUGGAAGAACACCGGUGGCGAAGGCGACUUUCUGGCUCGUAACUGACGCUGAGGUACGAAAGUGUGGGGAGCAAAC
rnacentral:rRNA from 1 species